UGGGGAAUUUUGGACAAUGGGCGAAAGCCUGAUCCAGCAAUGCCGCGUGUGUGAAGAAGGCCUUCGGGUUGUAAAGCACUUUUGUCCGGAAAGAAAUCCUUGGCUCUAAUACAGUCGGGGGAUGACGGUACCGGAAGAAUAAGCACCGGCUAACUACGUGCCAGCAGCCGCGGUAAUACGUAGGGUGCAAGCGUUAAUCGGAAUUACUGGGCGUAAAGCGUGCGCAGGCGGUUUGCUAAGACCGAUGUGAAAUCCCCGGGCUCAACCUGGGAACUGCAUUGGUGACUGGCAGGCUAGAGUAUGGCAGAGGGGGGUUAGAAUUCCACGUGUAGCAGUGAAAUGCGUAGAGAUGUGGAGGAAUACCGAUGGCGAAGGCAGCCCCCUGGGCCAAUACUGACGCUCAUGCACGAAAGCGUGGGGAGCAAACAGGAUUAGAUACCCUGGUAGUCCACGCCCUAAACGAUGUCAACUAGUUGUUGGGGAUUCAUUUCCUUAGUAACGUAGCUAACGCGUGAAGUUGACCGCCUGGGGAGUACGGUCGCAAGAUUAAAACUCAAAUGAAUUGACGGGUCAUAGCUGUUUCCU
rnacentral:rRNA from 1 species